AGCCAAUCAGAAAUGAGCUUAUCCAUAAAAGUACAGUAUCGUCAGUAAACCUGUACUUUUAUGGAUAAGCUAGUCUCUGAUUGAA
ncrna:Ornithorhynchus anatinus (platypus) microRNA oan-mir-590 precursor